UACGAAGGGUGCAAGCGUUACUCGGAAUUACUGGGCGUAAAGCGUGCGUAGGUGGUGAGUUAAGUCUGAUGUGAAAUCCCCGGGCUCAACCUGGGAAUGGCAUUGGAUACUGGCUCGCUAGAGUGCGGUAGAGGGUGGUGGAAUUCCCGGUGUAGCAGUGAAAUGCGUAGAGAUGCGGAGGAACACCGAUGGCGAAGGCAGUGGGCUGGGCCGGCACUGACGCUGAGGAGCGAAAGCGUGGGGAGCGAACAGG
rnacentral:rRNA from 1 species